rnacentral:rRNA from 1 species
AUACGUAGGGGGCAAGCGUUGUCCGGAAUGACUGGGCGUAAAGGGCGUGUAGGCGGCCGAUUAAGUCUGGAGUGAAAGUCCUGCUUUCAAGGUGGGAAUUGCUUUGGAGACUGGUUGGCUUGAGUGCGGAAGAGGCAAGUGGAAUUCCCAGUGUAGCGGUGAAAUGCGUAGAGAUUGGGAGGAACACCAGUGGCGAAGGCGACUUGCUGGGCCGUAACUGACGCUGAGGCGCGAAAGCGUGGGGAGCGAACAGGAUUAGAUACCCUGGUAGUCCACGCUGUAAACGAUGAAUGCUAGGUGUAGCGGGUAUCGACCCCUGCUGUGCCGCAGUAAACACAAUAAGCAUUCCGCCUGGGGAGUACGGCCGCAAGGUUGAA